rnacentral:rRNA from 1 species
AGAACGAACGCUGGCGGCAGGCCUAACACAUGCAAGUCGAGCGGCAGCACGGGUACUUGUACCUGGUGGCGAGCGGCGGACGGGUGAGUAAUGCCUAGGAAUCUGCCUGGUAGUGGGGGAUAACGCUCGGAAACGGACGCUAAUACCGCAUACGUCCUACGGGAGAAAGCAGGGGACCUUCGGGCCUUGCGCUAUCAGAUGAGCCUAGGUCGGAUUAGCUAGUUGGUGAGGUAAUGGCUCACCAAGGCGACGAUCCGUAACUGGUCUGAGAGGAUGAUCAGUCACACUGGAACUGAGACGCGGUCCAGACUCCUACGGGAGGCAGCAGUGGGGAAUAUUGGACAAUGGGCGAAAGCCUGAUCCAGCCAUACCGCGUGGGUGAAGAAGGCCUUCGGUUGUAAGACCUUUCGUUAGGUAAAGAAAAGACAAAUACGGUUAAUACCGGUUGUUCUGACGGUACCAAAGAAUAAGACACCGGACUAACUUACGCGCCAGCGAGCCGACGGUAA